UACAGCCUUUGGCAGAGGCACUUGUCAGUCACACAGACCGUUUGGCGGCCGUUGGUGCCGUCGGGGCGCGUAGUUUGAAGUACGGUGCAAGGUCUCUGUCAGCUAAGCCCGUGGAAUCCCCCGCUGGGGAGAAAGAAUCCCCGGACUGGGCCCAACUAGGGGGACAAACGGGCACUGUCUGGGGACCUCCUUCAAGCCCUGAAGGCAGGAGAUCCCAGCAGCUCACCAAUACCUGUAAAGUGCAGCUUGCGGUUACUGAUUUGCAGCAAUGUGCUUACCACCAAUAUUGUCAUACAUCUGCACAACUAUGUAUAAGUGUACCAGUGUUUAGGUACCAGAUCUCAUUGCAAGUAGGGGCCUUCCUACUCCUGCUUUUGGACUGUGAUGAAAGCUGACAGUAGGGAGACAGGAGUCCAGCUGUGCAGUAAGGCAGAUGCCUAAGCUGCUAAAAUGUACAACAGGGCAGAAUGUUUGACUCAUAUCAUGGCACAAGACCACAUACAGACUAGAAAUCAGAUAUCUGUGCUGUGUCACAGUAUGUAAGGCUUUGCUAAAAUAAGGGACACAAAUGUUCUAUUUUCAAUAGGAUGCAGAACCACAUUGGGGACAUUUUGCUUCUCCAUUGGAAAUGUGCAAAGCCACCAAAUCCUCAUCCUCUAAAUGAAUGAAUAAUAUUAGGAGCUUGCUAGGACACUUGUGAAAAAAAUAAGAGCACCUAGAAAUGACAGUAUAAGACAACUUUAUUUCAGCUUGGACCUACUGCAAAGAUUUUCAGCAAGAUCUCUUCUUCAUGUGAAAGGUAGAAUCCCAGAGUUCAUCUGACAUCCAGAGAGUUAAAUUUCCUCUCCUCAUUGGAAGAAUACUGAUUCCAAGACUGCCAGAAGAUGAAGCAAGAACAAAGUCAUGGACUGGACCUCCCUUACUGGAGAGACCUAUACAGAGCCUGUCAUCCAGAUAUGGAAAAAGUCUGUGUAGCUAUGACAUCUCAUUUGGGUGGCUGCCAUUGAGAAGACCUUCAUGAAAACCCUGGAUGUUGUUGCUAGCCUGAAUGGGAGUACUCUAAAUUGGUAGUGUUCUUUUCCUACCAGAAACCUAACAAACUUCCUGUGGGAUGGAUGAUUGUCCACAUGAAAAUAAGAGUCUAUCACAUCGAGAGAUGUGAACUGCAUUUCCUCCUGUAGGGAAGGAAUUAUUGAUGUCAGCGUAACCAUUCAGAAUUUUGAUUUGUGAAUAAAAACAUUUAAUUG